rnacentral:rRNA from 1 species
CCUACGGGAGGCAGCAGUGGGGAAUAUUGCACAAUGGGGGAAACCCUGAUGCAGCGACGCCGCGUGAGUGAAGAAGUAAUUCGUUAUGUAAAGCUCUAUCAGCAGGGAAGAAAAUGACGGUACCUGAGUAAGAAGCCCCGGCUAACUACGUGCCAGCAGCCGCGGUAAUACGUAGGGGGCAAGCGUUAUCCGGAUUUACUGGGUGUAAAGGGAGCGUAGACGGCAGUGCAAGUCUGGAGUGAAAGGCUGGGGCUCAACCCCCGGACUGCUCUGGAAACUGUACGGCUGGAGUGCAGGAGAGGUAAGUGGAAUGCCUAGUGUAGCGGUGAAAUGCGUAGAUAUCAGGAGGAACACCAGUGGCGAAGGCGGCUUACUGGACUGUAACUGACGUUGAGGCUCGAAAGCGUGGGGAGCAAACAGGAUUAGAUACCCCUGUAGUC